UACGAGGGGUGCAAGCGUUGUUCGGAAUUACUGGGCAUAAAGGGUGCGUAGGCGGCUUGUUAAGUCAGGGGUGAAAGUUUUCGGCCCAACCGGAAAAUUGCCUUUGAUACUGGCGAGCUCGAGUGCGUGAGGGGUAACCGGAACGAGCAGUGUAGCGGUGAAAUGCGUAGAUAUUGCUCGGAAGGCCAACGGCGAAGGCAGGUUACUGGUACGCAACUGACGCUGAGGCACGAAAGCGUGGGGAGCAAACAGGA
rnacentral:rRNA from 1 species